rnacentral:rRNA from 1 species
UACAGAGGUCUCGAGCGUUAGGCGGAAUCACUGGGCUUAAAGCGUGUGUAGGCGGAUCGUUAAGUGCCUUGUGAAAUCCCACGGCUCAACCGUGGAACUGCUUGGCAUACUGGCGGUCUUGAGCAACCUAGGGGCGAGCGGAACAAAUGGUGGAGCGGUGAAAUGCGUAGAGAUUGGAAAGAACACCGAUGGCGAAGGCACUUUACUGGGCUAUUACUAACACUGAGAGACGAAAGCUAGGGUAGCAAAUGGG